rnacentral:misc_RNA from 1 species
AAAAUAUUUAUCCGAGAAUUCGUUUCGUUUUCCGGAUUAAUUUGUAUUCAAAUCCCGCUCUUUAUAAAUAUAUCAAUUAUAUAAAACAAAAUAAAAAAAAGA